AAUGGAGUUGCAGCAUAUGUAACUGUACGGGAUCCCGCAUUCCUCUAUCUGCCUCCUAAUCUUGCUCUUUUGCUCAUACAUGGUCAGCCCCGGCUCCACCGGUUCCGCCCUAUCUAUGUCAUGACCAAAUUCCGACGGUACAAACCUCUGCAAAUAUAUAUUUCAUCCAUUAACCUAAUAGUGCCUUAUGAAUCAUGAACUUUAUGCAGUUUUGGAGUCCUUGAUCUUGCAUUGCAUGCAGGCCCAACCUUAAGGUAGUUUGGGAGUGCGACCACCAAGGCCUAGGGCUGGAAGAGGCCCAAAAAUAAAAUUUUCAACUUUCAAGGUAGAAAAUAAUUUUCAACCUUUUAAAUUUUUUGACGUACACUUUAUUAUAGGCAGGAAAAGAAAGAAGAAAAGGGUCUCCAAUUUUUUAUUUUAUUGUAUUAUAUUUUAUAAAUUUUUAAAAGGAGUCUCAAUUUAUUAUUUUACCUAAUGUCUCAAAAAUAU
rnacentral:lncRNA from 1 species